rnacentral:rRNA from 1 species
UGCCUAACACAUGCAAGUCGAACGAGAUCUUCGGGUCUAGUGGCGCACGGGUGCGUAACGCGUGGGAAUCUGCCCUUUGGUUCGGAAUAACAGUUGGAAACGACUGCUAAUACCGGAUGAUGACGAAAGUCCAAAGAUUUAUCGCCAGAGGAUGAGCCCGCGUAGGAUUAGCUAGUUGGUGUGGUAAAGGCGCACCAAGGCGACGAUCCUUAGCUGGUCUGAGAGGAUGAUCAGCCACACUGGGACUGAGACACGGCCCAGACUCCUACGGGAGGCAGCAGUGGGGAAUAUUGGACAAUGGGCGAAAGCCUGAUCCAGCAAUGCCGCGUGAGUGAUGAAGGCCUUAGGGUUGUAAAGCUC